rnacentral:lncRNA from 1 species
UGAAUAGGCCGUGCUGCCAAAGAAGAGUUGCCAGGAAAGAUCUGACUUUCAUAUCCCGAGCAAUUGUUGCAAGGAAGGAAAACAGCCAGGGCUGAACUCCAAAAUGUUCGACAAGAAAGAUUUGCUGGAAAACGCACUGGCACUUCUCUUUUGCCCUUUAACGUUUGCCAUCUGUCUUAACAGUCUACCAUGUACUAGGUGAACCUCUGCUCUCUCCUCCUUCCUCUUUCAAUCUGGAGCUGAUGAAUCUGAUAAAGCAGAAGAAAAGAAGAGGUGAGCACCAGGAACACAAGAUGAAUUUUAAGUUAAUAGCUAAACCAAGAAAAACCAGGAGGCCUACAAGAGCAGAAGUAACUUUGAAAAUCUACCGGAGAAUCAAGUGCAGGAAUAAAUAUAUCAAUCUGAAGUGUCCAUGCAGAAUUAAACUACAAGGAAUUAGUCAAGCUCUUCUUAAUAGCUGCCAAGGCUGAGAUAGCUUUGCAUUGGAAGGUAGCUUCUCAGCCUUCUCUUAGUGGAUGGAGUGUGAGAGUCUGGAUCCUAGUCCUCAAUGAUUGAAGGAGCUGUGCAUACCCAGUUUAAAGACAAUUGAUCUCCACUAUUUGACACAGCAGGCCACAGUGUUUUCCUGAGCCCAAAUUCCUCAUAUCCAUUCUUCUUGAAUUCACAGUUUGUAUACCAGUUUCCUCACCUGUCUUUAGCUUGACUUUUGUCACAAUCUUUGGCCCUUGUCCUGUUAUAUGACAGAAUUAUCCCAUUGUGAUUUUUUGUAGUUGGUAGUUGUUAGUAUUUUAUUUUUGUACUUUUUGUGCAUUGUACAUGGUGGUUCAAUAAAAAAAUUUCAAAAAGAAAA